GGGCCCAUAGCUCAAUGGUGGAGCGUCCGGCUCAUAACCGGUUGGUUCUUGGUUCGAAUCCAAGUGGGCCCACCA
rnacentral:tRNA from 1 species